GAUGAACGCUGGCGGCGUGCCUAAUACAUGCAAGUCGAGCGAAUGGAUUAAGAGCUUGCUCUUAUGAGGUUAGCGGCGGACGGGUGAGUAACACGUGGGUAACCUGCCCAUAAGACUGGGAUAACUCCGGGAAACCGGGGCUAAUACCGGAUAACAUUUUGAACCGCAUGGUUCGAAAUUGAAAGGCGGCUUCGGCUGUCACUUAUGGAUGGACCCGCGUCGCAUUAGCUAGUUGGGGAGGUAACGGCUCACCAAGGCAACGGUGCGUAGCCGACCGGGGAGGGGGAUCGGCCGGACGGGGACUGAAGCACGGCCCAGACUCCUACGGGAGGCAGCGGUAGGGAAUCUUCCGCAAUGGACGAAAGUCUGACGGAGCAACGCCGCGUGAGUGAUGAAGGCUUUCGGGUCGUAAAACUCUGUUGUUAGGGAAGAACAAGUGCUAGUUGAAUAAGCUGGCACCUUGACGGUACCUAACCAGAAAGCCACGGCUAACUACGUGCCAGCAGCCGCCGUAA
rnacentral:rRNA from 1 species